GGGUGAGGAGAGAACAGAGGUAACAAGGUCAGCAAUCUCUUCAAGUUUGUUGAGUUCACAAGAAGGAAGGUCGAUCAAAGGACUAGUUUCGGGCAUUUCUUCUAUGUGCUCCUCUUCAGACUCUAUAAGGUCCUGUGUGACUUCCACUGAAGGAUCCUUACCCUGAACCUGGCAGAUUUUUUCCCAGAUUUCAUCACAGCCAGCUUUUUCUUGAAAACUCAGUGCUAAGUCAUAGUUCUCUGCUUCUGACCAAACAAUCAAGGUGUCCUGCUGCUUUUGAUAUGCAGUGUUUGGAUUUAUCUUCGAUUCUAGCAGUAGCGAACCGUCCGACUCGGCGCGCACCAGCAGCGACAUCCCCUUGAGGCGUUCCACGUAGGUGGAGGAGACGUGCCCGGUCCCCCUGUCGUCCCAUUGCCGAUCCUCGUUGAGGGUAUAGACCUUCACCCGCCGGCGGGUGUCCGACAUGGUGCAGCCCCGGCCUCGGGCCUGCGCGCCGGCCCCGGGCCCGCUCCGCCUCCGGGGGGCGAUGGAGCGAGAGCGGGGUUGGAAGCGGGGCCGCGGCCGCUCAGGGGCAGCGCGGGGCCUUUAACGCGCCGCUUUUCAUGGCUCCCCGCCGGCGAGAGGGCGACGCCGCGCCCGGCUCGGGCCUCCCUGUCGCCGCUCCGCCGCCUCAGCAGCUACCGCAGCGCCGCCGCCAUCUUGUAACCCG
rnacentral:lncRNA from 1 species